rnacentral:rRNA from 1 species
AUUGAACGCUGGCGGCAUGCCUAACACAUGCAAGUCGAACGGCAGCACAGUCUAGCUUGCUAGAUGGGUGGCGAGUGGCGAACGGGUGAGUAAUGCGCAGGAAUAUGCCUUAAAGUGGGGGACAACUUGGGGAAACUCAAGCUAAUACCGCAUACGCUCUACGGAGGAAAGCUGGGGACCUUAUGGCCUGGCGCUUUAAGAGUAGCCUGCGUCCGAUUAGCUAGUUGGUGGGGUAAAGGCUCACCAAGGCGAUGAUCGGUAGCUGGUCUGAGAGGAUGGUCAGCCACACUGGGACUGAGACACGGCCCAGACUCCUACGGGUGGCAG